ACUGUUAUGAUCCAACUGAUUAAACUGAUGGGUCGUUAACAGACGCUGCGUCAUGACACACACGUGGUAAACGGAGCGGACGCGUUGAGGCGUGCGCGUACGUGUGCGCGUAAAGGGAGCGAGAGGCGUCGGAGCGGCCACAAAGCGGAGACGCUCAGCACAGAACUGAGCGGCCGUUCAUUUAACUAUAAACGGACUGAGCUGAGACCAGUCGUACGACGUGACGUGACGUGAUCGCUUGGGAGACUUUACUGUGGAUGAUUUCCCACCGGCUCAUUUGGAGCAGGUGGAUCCGGAACCGAGCAACAGCCGACGUCCAGGUUCUGACCGGGUCCGAUGGCCAACGGCAGCACCCCCCAGGGCUGCGGCCCCAGCGUGGACUCGCUCUACUCCAACCUGUGCGACCUGAAGGCCGCGUGGGGCAUCGUGCUGGAGGCGUUCGCGGCCGCCGGCCUCGUCUUCUCCGUGGUGCUCGUCCUCUCGCUGCUCGCCAGCCUCCCCUUCAUGCACGGCCGGAACCGCCGGGGCUCAGUGCCGCUGCACGCCUUCCUGCUGCUCUUCACCGCCGGCCUCUUCUGCCUCACCUUCGCCUUCAUCGUGGGGAAGGACUUCGCCACCUGUGCCUCGCGGCGGUUCCUCUUCGGGGUGCUGUUCGGCGGCUGCUUCAGCUGCCUCCUGAUGCAGAGCGUGCGGGUGAACGUGCUGACCAGAACCGGCAGCGGCCCGCGGGCCUGGCGCCUGUGCCUGGGGGCGCUGGGGCUGUGGCUGGUGGAGGUCAUCAUCAACGCAGAAUGGCUGAUCGUCACGGUGGUGCGGCACCCUCAGGGGCCGCUCAACGCCACAGGGGCCGCUCCCUGCAACAUCGCCAACGAGGACUUCGCCAUGGCCCUGAUCUACGUGAUGACGCUCCUGCUGGCGGCGCUGGCGGCCAGCGUGGCGGCGCUGGCGGGCGGGCCCGGGCGCUGGAGGCGGGAGGGCGUGUGCAUCCUCCUGGCCGGCCUGCUGUCGGUGGGCAUCUGGGUGGCGUGGGUCGCCAUGUACGUCUACGGGAACGGCGCCCGCGGGUCGCCCGCCUGGGACGACCCCACGCUGGCCGUCGCCCUGGUGGCCAACGCCUGGGCCUUCCUGCUCCUCUACUCCAUUCCCCAACUGUGCUGUUUGAGCCGGGACGACGACCCCCAGGAGGCCCUCGGGGAAGUGUACCCGGAGCGGGCCGUGGGCUACGAGACGGUCCUGAAGGACCAGGGCUACCAGAACAUGUUCAUGGAAAACAAGGGCUUCUCCAUGGACGAGCCCAACCAAGGGUCCAAGCCGGUGUCUCCGUACAGCGGCUACACCGGGCAGCUGCGAGCUUCGGUCUACCAGCCCACGGAGCUGGCCAUCAUCACCAAAGCAGGUGGAAACCUCCACCUCCUGAUAAGCUGGAGGACGCGCUCAUAAACAGCUGGGCGUCAUGGACCCUGAACGCCUCGCCGCUCAUCCAUCCCUGCUGUGUGCGUCCUCUAGGCUCCGCCCACACCUGUUACCUGAGCCCACGCUAACCGGCCCGGCCUCAUCCUCAAACCUUUUCUCUCAUGAAACACAAACCCGUUUUACCAAAAACACGAACAAUGCGACAAACGUCUUCCGGUUUUUCGACUGAGCCUGUAACAGGAGACCAGCGCUGACUGCUGGUGUCUGCGUCGGCAGCUGACCUCUGCUGGUCCAUGGACCAGCAGGGGUCAGCUGAUCUCUGCUGGUCCGUGGAUCAGCACAGAUCUGCUGAUCCAUGGAUCAGCACAGAUCAGCUGCUCAGAUCAGCUGAUCUCUGCUGAUCCAUGGAUCAGCACAGAUCAGCUGCUCAGAUCAGCUGAUCUCUGCUGAUCCAUGGAUCAGCUACUGUCUGUGCUUAGACCGUCGUGCUACCGUUACCGAGCGCUGUGGGCGUUGUGCUUAACUGAUGGUUUGUUCCCUGUGGCCCGGCCCGGCCCAGCCCAGCGUGGACGCCUAUGAAGUGAGCAUCCCCAGAGCGAGCCUCGGCCCCUCAGCCCCCGGCGGGAGCAGCCCCCUGCAGCUGCAGGACGCGCCCUGGAAGGCCAACGGCAGCGGCAUCUGACUGCUGAGUGCGUGUCGUGUAUCUCACGGUGGCUGUCGUUCAUGGAGGGCAGCUCGUUUGUGCAGACACUACACUGUUUCGUGGGGAGGAGGAGGUUUCAUCCGUCCUCCAUGAAUGAGCUGCAGCCGUGGACGGCAGCUGUCACACAUUGAUUCUGUGGUCUGUUCGUCUGCAGGGCAACGGUUUCCAGAGGACGACUCAGUGGUGAACGUCCUCCUCCACAGCCCCAAACUGCACUUCACGUCUUUCCUUUGCCACUUGCUGACUCUGCUGUAGUUUGUGGGAGGAGCCUCCUUGGACCGAUGUCGCCCGAGCUCCGUGGCGUCCGGCGGUGCCGAGCUCGACCCGCUCGCUGGACUUGAAACCGGUGCAGGCAACACAGUGGUGAUCCUCACAGGUGCCCUAAGACAGGAUGAACAACCUGAAGCUGUUACCACCAGGAGCAGUGAUGCCCUGAACACAACCCCCACACGUUUAAAUACAGCAAAACAACUGAAUUAGCAUAAAUGCCUUAAGGUAUAAUGUGAUUUUACUGCAUUUAUGAAUAUAUUUAACACUAUUUAUAGAGCUGCUGUAUAUUUAUUUGACUUCAUUUGUACCAAUCAGACAAUCAGACAUGGUUACACUGUAGCAGACAACCAAUCCGUGAUCAGCAUCUUUCACUAGCUCAUCGUCUCACUUGCUUUAAUAAUUAAAAACAGACGAUUGUU